UACAACACACAGCAAUUAUGAUUUAGACAAACAAAAAAAAAUCACAAAUUUUAUUAAUUUUAUUGUUGUGUCUAAUAUAGAAACAACUUGUGUUGUAAAAGAAAAGAUGACAGCAUAUCUCUUUAAAACGUGCCAGUAUAGGCCCUGACUGCACGCGAGAACAUUUGAAUUAUCUGGCACGAGGCCUCACACGUCAUACUUCAACUGACACAACGGUCUCGAUGGUAGGAACAAGCAAAAGCUCCUUUAAAUUUCGUCAUUUUUUAUACACAUCCUGUUUAUUUUGUAGUUAAUUGUUAGAUAAGUUAGUAAUUUCGUCAAGUUUUCGUUACAAGGUAAGAUUUCGUUACCAUAUACAGUAAAUAUUGGUUCAAGAGGGCAGUUUGAUAACUCAUUCGAGGUUUGUAAAUGGGGUUUCUGUUCCUGCAGUCUUUCAGCGGUGCUGGCGCGUAUGACGAUGCGGACAUGAACGGCACACUACAGUAUACCGCCACCUACUGUACUGUAGUACAAUAACGUCCUUUAAACAUCUAAACAUGUCCUCCAAAAAGGUUUCCUGUGCUGUUUUGCUCCAUUUUACUGAACAAAAUAAGGCUGAGGUAGCACCAUCCUUGUGGUUAGAGUGAAAGAACGUGUGUAUUGAGACCAAAAUAAACAAUGUGCCAUUCUGGACAAACAGCUGUGGACAAUAUAUGCAGUCAGAGUAGCCUAUUUUCUCACACAGACCUGAAGAUAAGAUUUCCAGUUUAAAAGUGAAGAAAAUGAAUCAUUAUUAACAGCAAUUAGGAGUAUUUCUCAGCUGAAAAGCCAGUUUAUGCACAAUCACAAAUGCAGCACAUCAAUCAAUUUCUUCCAACCAGCGAAUCAAGAAAUCUUGGAGUGGAGAAUCAUUCUGAAAGUAGACCAAAUCCAGGACAACAUCACAGCAGUGGUCGGAAAAAUGCAGCAAGCCAAGCUGACUUUCAAAAGAUGAUUCGUUAUCUGUUUCUUCAGAGGGGAGGCAGUUUGGGAGAUGGGAAUUAGGAGGAUGCUACAGUUACACAGGGCGAAUUUCAGCAGCUCAGUUUCAAACUUGCAACUAACAAUGAAUUAUAUUAGAAGACCACGGAAAUAUUUGACAUCGGAGUCCAGCAGACAGCCAGAGACACGCACACACACGCAGCUGAAGCGCGUGACGCGUACGGGAGAUCCGGCACGCGCACGGGAGCUUGCGCACGCUCACACAAACACGGAGCACAGGAUAAUUACAACUGUUUAAUUAAAAAUAAAAGAACUUUGUUGUAUACAA